UACGUAGGGUGCAAGCGUUGUCCGGAAUUAUUGGGCGUAAAGGGCGCGUAGGCGGUCAGCACAAGUCAGUUGUGAAAUCUCCGAGCUUAACUCGGAAAGGUCAACUGAUACUGUGCGACUAGAGUGCGGAAGGGGCAACUGGAAUUCUUGGUGUAGCGGUGAAAUGCGUAGAUAUCAAGAGGAACACCUGCGGCGAAGGCGGGUUGCUGGGCCGACACUGACGCUGAGGCGCGAAAGCUAGGGGAGCGAACGGG
rnacentral:rRNA from 1 species